AUUCAGAUGCAUCCUGGAAUUUACCAAAAAUACAAAAUACAUUUUGCUGCAUUUAAUCAAUUAACAUUAAUAAUAUUGACCUUUCUAAGCAAAACUAACCUAAGAUACAGUCUCACGGUGUUAUUGUGAGUGUUGAUGUCAGUGUCAGUGUCAGUUUUAGUGCAGGAGGUUUUUGUACAGCUGUUGAUUGAGUUUGUAUCACUGUGGUACACGUUCGGUGGAGGCACCCGACUCUCAGUUGGAACUGCGGCUCGUCCCGCUGUCACGGUGCUGCCUCCCUCCAGAGACGAGCUGCAGCAGGGUAAGGCUACAGUGCUGUGUGUGGCCAGUAAGGGAUUCCCCUCUGACUGGAAGCUGAGCUGGAAGGUGGACGACAGCAGCAGGAGCUCUGGUGUCAAUCUGAGUCCCGGUCAGCUGCAGAAGGAUGGACUGUACAGCUGGAGCAGCAGCCUGAGCCUCACUGAGAGUGAGUGGAGCAGAGCAACAACCGUCAGCUGUGACGCCACGCACCCGUCCCACAAUGCAGUGACCAAGAGCCUCGACACACAGCAGUGCAAUGAUGACAAGUGAAAUACACACACACACAAACCAUUACAAAGCACACACACUGUCCUAAAUCAGUCAACAAUAAAAUUUGCAAUGCUGUGAAUGUUCAGUGUAUUGUUUUAAGCUUGCUGACAAAUAAAAGCAUUUUGAUUCAUG